GUUACAUGUUCGAUAUAACUCUUCGAUUAUUUCUGAGAACGCUGGAAAUAAUGUUCAUUCCAUUCAACGAGGAUAAAUCAAAAGGAGAGGGGAUGUCAAUUUUUAAUGGAGAAUCACGUAUUCGUCCCGUUACGACUGAUUCGAGGCUUUAUCGCGACAUUACAGAAGAAAUCGGGAAACACGCGGAACGUUUGCUGGUACUCGCAUAACUGACCGAGCCGAGGGGAGAAAUUCUCUCUAUCCUGAUGGCCCGGGCUCCUGGCUGACUUGCGCUCCGCGCACCUAAGCGCAACAUGUGGUAAACCGUUGAAGAUACCGGUCGGCCUGGUCUGUGUUUUCCAGUGGUGCCAGGUGCGAUGGCCGGACGGUAUAACGACGUAACGGCUGCCGCAUUGCCGAUGUCGUGUCUACAGUAACUACGGUACAUGGGGUCGUCUCUUAGAGUGUUUGCGAAUUAGGCCGCGACCCCGUCUCCGUCGUCGCGAACCACGAUGGUUCUGUGGUAGUGGUCGCAGAGGGGGCUGUGCCGCGAAAUUAGAACGUUGCAUUCGUGAGGGUCGUCGCUGUCUCGCUGCCGUGGCGGGGCAUCAAUAGGAAUAAUACGAGGAACUAUGCGAUGUAGCUCGCACAUAGGUAGACGCGAGUGUAACGACCUUACACCCCCGCAGGUAGCGGGAUCGAUGGGCUUCAACUGCGAGCAACCUCACAUCCGCAGCUCCUACCGCGGGCCAACUUCCUCCACCGUGUUGGCUGUCCCACUUUUCUGUCGCAUUUUACUACUACGAUGUAACGUUGUUUCGCACCUUACGGCCACUGCUUGUCGACGAUAAGCGAACUUGUACUGUUUCGAAUAGAAACGGUUCUGCCGCGACAAACAAUGCCUAGCAACGAGGCAAGGAUUCUCAAACACAGAAAAUCAUCGGACGUUUCAUUAAAAUUUGAAAAUUCACUGUUGGAAAUAACUUGGUAUAUAAAUAGGGUGAAUAAAAUCAACUAGUUAUUUGUUUAAAAUAUAUUGUAAACGUUUCUCAUAAUGAUAGUACGGUCUGAGAAUUUUGGAAUCAAAUUUCAUAAAAACGAUGAAUUAAAGUCGAUCGUAUCGUGAAGUUUUAUUCCCAUUUCUCUGUUGAGUAGAAUAUGCUAGUAUUGUGUUACGUGCAUGCUGAUAUGGCAAACGCUUCACUAAGAAAGCAAGUGCAUUAUUUACUCCGACAAUGGAGUUACAUGUUGUAAUCGUGACGUAGAUUAUAUCGUGAUUGUUGCAAAGGUGUACUCGUUACGUUCCAUUCCAUUUUAUAAAAUAGA